GGUGGAGGUUGAAGGAUACAGGUGGUGCAUGGUUGUCGUCAGCUCGUGUCGUGAGAUGUGGGUUAAGUCCCGCAACGAGCGCAACCCUUGUCUUUAGUUACCAUCAUUAAGUUGGGGGACUCUAGAGAGACUGCCGGUGAUAAACCGGAGGAAGGUGGGGAUGACGUCAAAUCAUCAUGCCCCUUAUGGCCUGGGCUACAAACGUAAUACAAUGGCGUAUACAAAGGGAUGCGAAAGAGCGAUCUGGAGCAAAACUCAUAAAGUACGUCUCAGUUCGGAUUGAAGUCUGCAACUCGACUUCAUGAAGCUGGAAUCGCUAGUAAUCGCGGAUCAGCAUGCCGCGGUGAAUACGUUCUCGGGUUU
rnacentral:rRNA from 1 species